AUCCUUUUGUAGUUUGUAAGCAUGAUGAUUGGGGUUUCACGCUUAUGUGUGAGACGCGCCUCCCUUAAAUCUUGUUAUGAUGUCAGCACAUUACCCAUCUGAUG